CCUACGGGAGGCAGCCGUGAGGAAUAUUGGUCAAUGGGCGCGCGCCUGAACCAGCCAAGUAGCGUGAAGGAUGACUGCCCUACGGGUUGUCAACUUCUUUUAUAAAGGAAUAAAGUGAUGCACGUGUGCCUUUUUGUAUGUCCUUUAUGAAUAAGCAUCGGCUAACUCCGUGCCAGCAGCCGCGGUAAUACGGAGGAUCCGAGCGUUAUCCGGAUUUAUUGGGUUUAAAGGGAGCGUAGAUGGGUUGUUAAGUCAGUUGUGAAAGUUUGCGGCUCAACCGUAAAAUUGCAAUUGAUACUGGCAGCCUUGAGUACAGUAGAGGUAGGCGGAAUGCGGGGUGGAGCGGUGAAAUGCUGAGAUAUCACGAAGAACUCCGAUUGCGAAGGCAGCCUACUAAACUGCCACUGACAUUGAUGCUCGAAAGUGUGGGUAUCAAACAGGAUUAGAUACCCGAGUAGUC
rnacentral:rRNA from 1 species